CCUGGGAAAUAUAUCUCGCCGAGCGAGUAAUUGGCCCCGGUUGUCACCGGCUUUGUGGAGAAGAGGUGGUCUCUUGCUGCUGAUCGGUAGAGACCCGAGAAUUCGAGUCGAAAACCCUAGCUAGCUAGACGAGAUAUGGCGGGGAUUCGGGUCUCGAUGGAGGUUGGGAGCGACGGAGUCGCGGUGAUCACCAUCUCCAAUCCUCCCGUCAAUGCGUUGCAUCCCAUGAUUAUUGCUGGAUUGAAGGAGAAGUACACCGAAGCGAUGAAUAGAGAUGACGUCAAGGCCAUUGUGUUAACAGGCGAUGUGGGCAAGUUCUCUGGUGGUUUUGAUAUCAAUGUUUUAGCUGAAAUCCACAAGACGGGAGAUCUAUCACGUCUACCAGACGUAUCUGUUGAACUUGUGGUGAAUAUAAUUGAAGAUGCCAAGAAGCCUUCUGUUGCAGCUAUUCGAGGACUUGCACUUGGUGGUGGUUUGGAGUUGGCAAUGGGUUGUCAUGCUCGAAUAUCUUCUCCUGAAGCUGAACUUGGAUUACCAGAAUUGACUCUUGGAGUUAUUCCUGGUUUUGGAGGCACCCAGCGUCUACCAAGGCUUGUAGGGCUGUCAAAGGCUAUAGAAAUGAUGCUGCUAUCAAAGUCAAUCCGUGCCAAGGAAGGGAAAGAGUAUGGCCUUAUUGAUGCCAUUGUCCCCCCUGAAGAGUUGAUAAAGAUAUCACGACUUUGGGCUUUAGAAAUUGCUGAACGAUGCAAACCCUGGAUUAACUCUCUUUGUCGAACUGACAGACUUGGUUCCCUUGCUGAAGCGCAUGAAAUAUUGAAAGUUGCUAGGCAACAAGCUAAGAGAAUAGCUCCAAAUAUGCCACAGCACCAAGUAUGCCUUGAUGCAAUUCAGGAAGGCGUCGUUUUUGGAGGAUAUGCUGGUGUUCUGAAGGAAGCAAAGGUUUUUAAGGAGUUGGUUUUAUCAAGCACUUCGAAGGGGCUUGUCCAUGUCUUUUUUGCACAACGUGCAACUUCUAAGGUACCUAAUGUUACUGAUGUUGGACUCAGACCUAGGCAGAUAAAAAGGGUUGCUGUUAUUGGUGUUGGUUUAAUGGGUUCUGGCAUAGCUACCACCCUUAUACUAAAUAACAUAUCUGUCAUUCUCAAGGAAAUUGAUUCCAAAUUUCUGCACAAGGGACUGAAAAUGAUAGAAGCCAAUCUUGAAGGUCUAAUGAAGAAAGGCUCAUUGACACAGGAUAAGAUGAAUAAGGCCUUAUCACUUCUUAAGGGUGUAUUGGACUAUUCAGAGUUCAAGCAUGUUGAUAUGGUUAUAGAGGCUGUUAUUGAAAGUGUUUCACUAAAACAGUCAAUAUUUGCUGAUAUUGAGAAGUUGUGUCCUCCAACAUGCAUUUUGGCAACCAACACGUCCUCGAUUGAUCUGAAUAUUGUUGGAGAGAGAACGCAUUCUCAAGAUCGGAUUCUGGGGGCACAUUUUUUCAGUCCAGCUCAUUUGAUGCCUCUCCUGGAAAUUGUUCGGACAGAGAAGACAUCUCCACAAGUAAUCUUUGAUCUCAUGACAGUUGGGAAGACUAUAAAGAAAGUCCCUGUUGUAGUUGGAAACUGCACUGGCUUUGCAGUUAAUCGCACAUUCUUUCCAUACAACCAAGCAGCAAAUAUGUUGGUUCAUCUAGGUGUUGACCUGUUCAGAAUUGAUAGAGUGAUCAGCAAUUUUGGCAUGCCAAUGGGCCCUUUUCAACUUCAGGAUUUGGGUGGAUAUGGACUGCAUUUCGCAGUUGGGGAAAUAUAUGAUUCCGCCUUCAGGGGUCGUAUGUUUCGGUCUGAUCUGGUAAAAUUGUUGGUAGAAAAUGGGCGAAAUGGAAAGAGCAACGGGAAGGGUUUCUACAUUCAUGAAAAGGGAAGCAAACCAAAACCUGAUCCUAGCAUACAAGCUAUUGUUGAGGAAUCUAGAAGGCGUGCUAAUGUCAUGCCUGGUGGAAAGCCUAUAAUUGUGAGUGACCAAGAAAUUUUGGAGAUGGUUUUCUUUCCAGCUGUGAAUGAGGCAUGUAGGGUGAUGGAUGAACGAGUUGUUGUUCGAGCGUCAGACCUUGAUAUUGCAUCUGUUCUUGGAAUGGGUUUCCCGAGAUACAGGGGUGGCAUCGUGUUUUGGGCUGAUACUGUUGGAGCUGGUUACAUAUAUUCAAGACUCAAAAAGUGGGCUGAAAUAUAUGGUGGCUUCUUUAGACCAUCAUCUUACUUGGAGGAAAGAGCCAACAAAGGCCUACCACUGAGCAUGCACGAUAUGUCUCCAUUGGAAGUAUCAAGAUCGCGCAUGUAGUUGGCUCUACUACCACUGGAGAAGAUUUAAGGGCUUGCCUAUAGAUUCUGUUCUGGCUUCAAGUAUGCAAACACAAUCAGCACUUGGACCAUAAAAAGCACCAAAUAAUUCAACAUGUUUCUCCUUGCUGUCUGUGGUAUUUGAUGAGUCAGCUACUGCAAAAUAAUGUGGACCAUCAGUGGUAGCUUGUCUUCUUGUUCUUCGUAUAUGUAUCAGAUUAUACUUCAUCUGCUCUUUGUCUAGCUGUAUGUCACGUCUAGUGGAUGAUGGAACUUUAUGUUGUUUUCGUUCCACGAACGUAGCAAUCCUAUGGUCGCGUGUGGUGGGAGCAUAAGAAAAUAGCCUAGAUGUGCUUAGUAUCUAUCGACUGUCAACAAUCUUAUUCCCGGAUAAGAUGUUCUUUGGUUGGUUUUUCAGACAGCUUAGAAUUUAGAACAAACUAUCCAUUUUUUGCAAAAUGACAUAACUAUUACCUGUUAUAGAUUAUUUUAUGUUGUAACAUUAAUAUUUUAUAAUACCAAAAAUAUUGUAAUUAUAAUAUACUGCCAGUCUUAAGUCAA